rnacentral:tRNA from 1 species
CUGAUAGCUCAGUUGGUAGAGCAAAGGACUGAAAAUCCUUGUGUCCCUGGUUCGAUUCCAGGUC